GGAAAAAAAAACGUUUUGAUGCUUCUUUUCUUUAUGGGGACAAUACAGCACAGUGGAAAUUGUGGUGGUUGGAGAUGUAAGACCGUGUCAUAACAGCAAAUGGAAUGCAGUCCUGAAGGUGUGACAAUAAGCAACGCUGUUGUGACUGCUACAGAACAGCUCUUGUGACUGCAGGGAAAAGCUCAAAAACAUCAUCUCUGCGGGCCGAUGAGCCUCAAAAAGCACUGGAGAGUGAAAAAGAACCUUUCAUGGAUCAGGACUCUGAAGUCGGCUCCCCAGAUGCCUGGAGCCUGACUCACUGUGCUGGACGUUUCUGCUUGGCAGAGCACCUCAGGCUAUACCUGGCACCUGAGGCGUGGGAUGCAGAGAUACUCCCAACAUAAGUCACCAUCUCAUCUCUAGAGCCCCGCACCGAGCCUUGCUGAUAUACGAGCCCGCAGGACCCAAACGCUGGCCUUGCCAGCAUAAAUUUAGGCUUGCUUGGCUGCUGAUUUACGUUGCCCGGAGCUUGCCCGCUCCUGCCCGGCGCGCCGACCUGCCUGGGGGCUUUAAUAAGGUCCUGUGCUAUAUACCCUAUAAAUUACUGCCCAAAAGCUUUGAUACAGAGCACUGAUUGAGGAGGCAGAGCAUCUGACUCCCAACCUUCCCAAUAGGGCCUCGCUGGUUUUUUACCCCUUCAGCCUCAGUUCAUCAAAAAGGCAGGAAAAGCCUCUGCGAGCACCGCCCGCCUGCUCCUUAUUCCCCUCCUAAUGAAUGUGGAAAUAUCUAUGGCAAGGGGAAUUUAUGGAUGAAGGAAUUCCAGUUACCAUCAUUUCAUCUCUGCUGUAAUAAGGCAGUCUGCGGCUGACAGCUUUGUAAAAUUCUUUUGGGACACAAAGCCGUGAAAAACUCCUGGGAAACAGUCCUCUGGGCGAGCCUUCGCUUCCAUCCAUGGGGAGAAAACAGCCUUUUAACGUCCAGAAGAUGUUUAUAACAUAGAGCAGCUCCUGUUUCUUUGCAUGCCUCUUCUCUAAGCCAAAUGAAGGCAAACCAAAUACUUUAUUGAGUGGGCUCUGAUGACCGCUUCUUCUUUUUUUUUUUUUUAAAUUGAGCGGAUCUGUUUAAGGAAAAAAGAAAAAAAAAAAGUAUAUGAAAAACACAAACGAACUUCAGAUGGCGAGUUUAACCUCCAGUGGUCUCAUAGAUUAAAAAACAUUAAAUCUUUUUAUCUAAAUUCUAAUAAAAAUCAUGUCUGCCAUGGUUUUAGUGACUGCUUCCAACUACACUUAAAAGCUUAUUAUUUU
rnacentral:lncRNA from 1 species